ACAAGAGAACAUCUAAAUAGUGCAAAAAAUCCAAACAACGAUAAAUCUAUCUUCGGUUGUCACAUAAGGGAAGAAGGACAUAGGUUCGAUAUUGAAGAGAACACCAAACUUAUUCAUCACUGCGAUUUUGGCUACAAACAGGAAAUUCUAGAGGAGGUAGAAAUCUUUAAACACCUUAAGAACACAGAAUACAGGACACUAAAUGCGAUGUUGACCAACAACGUGAAAGACACAUAUAAAAUCUUAUAUUGAUUCCCCCGGGGGACGCCACUGUAUCGUCGAGAAAAUUGAACACUUGAGUUAACCUUGGCUGGAAGAAGAAGAUUUGUCAGCACGAACGUCAGUUUGUUUGUGUUUUGUUUUGUUUGUCUUUUCUUGUGUUUUGGGGUCCCAUAUUAUUAUGCCUUUUGACCGUAUAUAUUUUAUUUUUAUUUUUGUCUUGUGACUUUUCUGAUUGAUGUUUAUCAUAUGACAAUGGAACCUUUAAAUCAAUCCUUGGUUUGAUAAUGGCGCAAGCCGAAACAUGUAACCGGAUGAUUUGAAUACAAGGUUCCACCACUGAAGUGCUUUAUAGACUUUUUUCUUUUUCCUCUU